GCCUAAACUACCAAAGCUAUGCUUGCCCAGGGAUUCUGGAGGGAGCAACUUGAGAAACUGCAAGUCGCUUCUGUUGUGAGAGAAUUGGCCAUCUGCCAGAACAUUGCUCAGGGAAUGCCCGGAUGUUUUGAUGUUUUUACCAUACUUGUGGGAGGCUUCUCUCAUGUCCCCAGAUGGAGCUAGAGCUGAUAUAGGGAGCUCAUCCGCAGACUCCCCAAGUUGGAUUCGAACUGGCAACCUUCAGGUCAGUAACCCAAUCU
rnacentral:lncRNA from 11 species